GAUGAACGCUGGCGGCGUGCCUAAUACAUGCAAGUCGAGCGAACAGACGAGGAGCUUGCUCCUCUGACGUUAGCGGCGGACGGGUGAGUAACACGUGGAUAACCUACCUAUAAGACUGGGAUAACUUCGGGAAACCGGAGCUAAUACCGGAUAAUAUAUUGAACCGCAUGGUUCAAUAGUGAAAGACGGUUUUGCUGUCACUUAUAGAUGGAUCCGCGCCGCAUUAGCUAGUUGGUAAGGUACCGGCUUACCAAGGCAACGAUGCGUAGCCGACCUGAGAGGGUGAUCGGCCACACUGGAACUGAGACACGGUCCAGACUCCUACGGGAGGCAGCAGUAGGGAAUCUUCCGCAAAGGGCGAAAGCUUGACGGAGCAACGCCGCGUGAGUGAUGAAGGUCUUCGGAUCGUAAAACUCUGUUAUUAGGGAAGAACAAAUGUGUAAGUAACUAUGCACGUCUUGACGGUACCUAAUCAGAAAGCCACGGCUAACUACGUG
rnacentral:rRNA from 1 species